rnacentral:rRNA from 1 species
AGCUCCAGUAGCAUAUAUUAAAGUUGUUGCAGUUAAAAAGCUCGUAGUUGGAUUUCUGGUACGAUGCGCCUGGUCCGCGCCCUUUUCGGGCUGUGAGUACCGGCGCGCGUCUGCCAUCCUCCCCAGUCCCGGCCGCUACCCUUCACUGGGCCGGCGGAUCCGCGCUGGGGUCGUUUACUUUGAAAAAAUUAGAGUGUUCAAAGCAGGCUUUUCGCUGUGAAUACAUUAGCAUGGAAUAAUGAUCUAGGACUUCGGUUCUAUUUUGUUGGUUUCUAGCACUGAAGUAAUGAUUGAUAGGGAUAGUUGGGGGUGCUAGUAUUGGGCGGCCAGAGGUGAAAUUCUUGGAUUCGCUCAAGACUAACUUAUGCGAAAGCAUUCACCAAGGAUGUCUUCUUUA